rnacentral:rRNA from 1 species
ACGCUCGACACCUACGGAGGCAGCAGUCGGGAAUAUUGCGCAAUGGAGGAAACUCUGACGCAGUGACGCCGCGUAUAGGAAGAAGGUUUUCGGAUUGUAAACUAUUGUCGUUAGGGAAGAGAAAGGACAGUACCUAAGGAGGAAGCUCCGGCUAACUACGUGUCAGCAGCCGCGGUAAUCUGAGCGGGCUGGCAAGGC